rnacentral:lncRNA from 1 species
GGUGCCGGGAGGGUGGCGCACCUGCAGAGGGCAUGGAAGCUUCCUGCCCCUUCCCCCAUACCUUGCCCAAUGUAUCUCUUCCACCUGGCUGUUCCUGAGUUGUAUCUUUUUUUUUUUUUUUUUUUUAAAGAUUUUAUUUUUUCCUUUUUCUCCCCAAAGCCCCCCGGUACAUAGCUGUACAUUCCUCGUUGUGGGUCCUUCCAGUUGUGGCAUGUGGGACGCCGCCCCAGCGUGGCCUGAUGAGCAGUGCCAUGUCCACGCCCAGGACUCGAACCAACGAAACACUGGGCCGCCUGCAGCGGAGCGCGCGAACUCAACCACUCGGCCACGGGGCCAGCCCCCUGAGUUGUAUCUUUUUAUCCUGGACCUGUAACCUACCCGCUCCCCCACCCCCCAGUACACAGCUGUAUAUUCUAGUUGUAGGUCCUUCUAGCUCUGCUGUGUGGGACAUCGCCUCAGCAUGGCCUGAUGAGUGGUACUAGGUCUGUGCCUGGGAUCUGAACCGGUGAACCCCAGGCUGCCACCAAAGCGGAGAGCGUGGACUUAACCACACAGCCGCAGGGCCGGCCCAAAGGUCAUGAAUGUCCCACGUGAUGAGUCCCAUCCCUGGACCAGGAGGAGAGAAGACAUUUUCUCACCAGAGACGGGGAACUUGGGGCUGAGAAUCUGUACAAGCAAACCUUGUUAAACUAAUGCUUAUCUUUCUAGUCAUUUCUUCACCACUUACUACCCUUCACCCUUACUACCCAAACCCCUUUGUCCUGUCAAUUCUUCACAUAUUUAUUGUUUCUUUGUCU